GGUCUGUUCAGGUUGCUAUAAUAAAAUAUCACAGACUGAUGGUUUAUAAAUCACUGAAAACUAUUUUUCACAUUUCUUGAGUCUGGCAGUUCAAGAUCACAGCAUGGUUUAUUGGGUCCUGGUAAAGGAUGUCUGGUUCACAGAUGGCUGACUUCUUGCUAUGUCCUCACAUGACUGGAGGUGCAAGAGUCUACAGUGUCUCCUGGUUUGUCUCCCUCUCUGAUUUCUUCCCAUUCAGUUUUCCCUCCCUUCCCCUGUUG
rnacentral:lncRNA from 1 species